AUUGAACGCUGGCGGCAGGCUUAACACAUGCAAGUCGAGCGAGCGGCGGACGGGUGAGUAAUGUAUGGGAAACUGCCUGAUGGAGGGGGAUAACUACUGGAAACGGUGGCUAAUACCGCAUACCAUCGGAUGUGCCCAGAUGGGAUUAGCUAGUAGGUGGGGUAAAGGCUCACCUAGGCGACGAUCCCUAGCUGGUCUGAGAGGAUGACCAGCGACACUGGAACUGAGGAACGGUCCAAACUCCUACGGUAGGCAGCAGUGGGGAAUAUUGCACAAUGGGCGCAAGCCUGAUGCAGCCAUGCCGCGUGUGUGAAGAAGGCCUUAGGGUUGUAAAGAACUUUCAGCGUGGAGGCGUUACUCGCAGAAGAAGCACCGGCUAACUCCGUGCCAGCAGCCGCGGUAAUAC
rnacentral:rRNA from 1 species